CAGCAAAAACUGAAGAGUUAAAAUUUCAGGGUUAAAGGCUUCAGAGUUGACUUUAACUCAUUAAGAGUUGUUUUAACCCUUGAUGGCGUUAAAUGGCGUUAAAUGGCACCCAGUGUUACAGUUAUUUCCAAUAGUUGAUUGCAUCAGGGUUGAUUUUACUCGUUAAGUGUUGUUUUAACAUUUGCUGAGUUAAAUGGUUUCCAGUCUGAUUGGAGGAAAAUAAGCUCCUCCCUCCUUCAUCGUCUUCCUUGGAGCGGAAUUUGAUAACCGCUCCCUUUUUUCUUCUCCUGUUGUUCUAAACGGUAAGUACAACUUCUUAAAUCUUUGGUUAAGCGCUUUUAAGUUGAUAGUCAUGUGACUUUUUCCACUAAUUUAAUACUUCGUCUAUUUUGCAACGGCUAUACUCGAUGUAUUAGCUAGCAGCCCUUUUGUGGGUUGCUAGUUAGCAGCAACCGACAAAAGGGUUGCUGCUAACCCUUUUGUUAGCAGCAAAAGGGUUACACACACGCACACACACAAUUAUCGGGCCGUGUAUUUAUGAAAAUUAAAGUUAUAUUUUUCUAUCAUUUAAAAUCAUAAUUUUGGCCAUGGUAAUUUAAAUGCUACCAGCCUGUACAUUCACAUGGCUAAUAAUUAGCAACGCUGACGUGUUACGUCCUCUUACGUACAUAGGAGUAUCGCACUGACUGGAACACUUGACUUAAGUUAUAUUUUGCUUUGUCUAAACCUGAGAAUGCUGAUAAUGGAGUGUCUGCUAAAAAGGUAACAUGAUUUCAGUGUGCCCCUAAACUCUUUAAACAUGUUGUGCCAUUUUUGGGUAAUCUAAAUUCUCCAUGUAUUUAUUUUUGUUUAAUUAUUCUUCAUUUCAUAGCUGGUUGAAGUGCCCUACAAAAUGAUGUCUGGUGGUGAAGAAGUUCUGCAGGAGUGUGGAACAACAGAAACUCUCAGUGAUGCCAUAAGAAGACAAGGGGUGAACAUACUGACGCUCACAGGAUUGAUAAAAAUAGGUAAGUGUGUUUUUGCACUUCUAAAUCUAUUUUAAAAAAGUCCCAAUUUUUUCACUAAAAUGAAAUCUCCUGUUAGGCAUCUUCCUGCUAAACCAAUCAGAGAGGAGUACUUGAGGAUGGUGACAUCUCCUUCCAAAUCCACCUGAAGUCACCAGGAAUCAGUGCGUGGGAUGCAGUCGAGAGACUUGCUGUCUUUUAUAAGUCAUGCUGAAGUUCAGAGGAACAUCUCCGGGACCAACGGGGUCUGCAGCCAUACCUCCUUGCUGUGUGUUGUCAGCAGAGCAAGAUUGACAUCCUCUACAUCAUCGUGGAUAAGUGACUCAUCCCAUGCCAAACAAACUGCUUUCUUGCAGCAUUUGAUGAGUUAUUCAAAAUACAUUUUGUGCUAUCUCUAAUGAACCUGCAUUAAUGAAUUUUUAUAAAUUUUUGCAUUGAAUAACAUUGAUGUUGGCAAAAUGAAGGAAUGACCUGGAGUGGGGGACUUAAGAGCAAGAUAAGCAAUAUAUUAUUAAUUGGCAAUCACUUUUUCCUUUGUUACCUAAACAGCUAUUUACAGAGACCUUUGUUCAUUUUCAUGGUUUUUUUUUAUAGUGAAAGAUAUCUUCUGAAAAUCCCAGAUCAAAAAUUUUAUAAGCUUUUUGAUAUUCAAAACUUGUAUGGAAUGCUAUUGAAUGUUGUUCACUGUACAACAGUUUAAAAUGUUGGAAACACAGCUGCAUAAAUAAAACAUUUGUUUAAAAUUGAUUUAUUUGUUUUAGUUUUACUUUAUUAUAAUACAUUUUAACCAGAAUCAUGAAGUUACACAUUUUGGAGUAAAUUUCUAGCACUUGAAAGUGUUAAAUUAACACAAACAAAAUUGUUAUUUUAUCAGUGUUAACCAUUGCAUCCCAAACAGAGUUAAUUUAACUCUGUUUUGUGAGUUAAAAAUUUACUCUGAUCCAGUGUUAAAAAUUUAACUAUUUUGAAAGUGUUAAUUUAACACAUAAGAAUGUGGACUAUAUAAACUCC